GCAGUUGUCUCAGUUUCUGUGAUGGAAGACUGAAUUUAAUUCUUUUUUCUAUUCAAACUGCAGCUGGCCACCUCUUCAGAUUACAUGAUACUAAAGUAUGUUAGGUAAAAAUACAAAUACAUGUCAAUUGGAUUUUCAGAAAUCUUUGAUUGAUCAUAGGUCCCUUUACAUAGCCUUAAUAGUAAUAAGUCCAAUUUCACACCAGGCUAAGUUACACAGCCCCUUCACAGAACCUGAGCUUAGCAUGCAACAGCAGUUAAACUUCUCUUGACCCAUGGAAGGCACCAGAAGAACUGAAUACACCAGACAAUUUUUAUUUCUUUCUAGUCAGCUUGUGAAAAAGGGAUGUGGAUACCAAUGUCACAUGGACCUUCACCUACUACAAUCUGGGAAGGAGGCCAAGAACAACCUUUUCAUUGGCCUUUGAUGGCUGUGCUUUCUAUCAAGCCAAGGAAAAUUGCAAAAGGAUACUCAAAAAGUGAAUGUAUUUCUGUUUUUAAAAAAACUGACACUGAUUAUUUUUGUAAACAAAGUCUCAAAGAAAAUCCCUGAUAAGAUCCAUGACAAGCGAUAUUCACAUAAUUUAUGCAUACAAAAUGUAUCCAGUAUCUAUGUUCUGCACACCUUUAUUGCUAUACCAUAAAAUUUUUAAAGAUACUAUGAAAAACAUAAUAUGGAGCCUUUGCAUUAGUAUUCAGUGUUCAAUUUCUGAAGUUUUUUAUAUUUUCUCUCUCCUGCCGGUUAGUAAAUAUGCUGC